ensembl:lncRNA
CUUUACUGUGCUCUCUGCCUCCCUUCUGAAAGAUGAUGUGGGAAUAUAUUGAUCCCAGCUUUUAGGACUUGUUCUAUUUCUGAACCCAGAUUGCAGUAUAAAGUACAAACACCAUUUUAAAAUGGAAGAUCUAUAUUAGAAUGACUAAGAGAAUAAAUUAAAGCACUGUCCUAUCUCUCCUGGUCUGCAGGCUGUGGUUAAGGAGGGAAUGCCCAGUGCUGUCUACCUGAAUGAUGCUUUAGAGUCUCCAGUAUCAGGGGACUUCAGUGAGCACAGUAUUGAUUUUUGUUCCUACAUUAAGCUUUUAGCUUUGCAAAUGGUUUUCUUUGAAAUCAUUAACAUUGCAAUGUGCAGUCUGAAAUAGCUCUGCUGCUGUGCAGGUGCCACCUCUGAUCCCUUCCUUCUUCCCUUCCUCUGCUGAACCAUCAUUCAGCUGAUACACCUGCAGGAGGGUGAAGAGAAAAGGAAGUGAAGUUGCAAGCCAGGACAGCCUUGGAACUGGGUUCCAGGCCAGCUCCAUGACUGUGCUGUCCCCAGGGAAGGAAGAAUCCUCCUGCUGCGCUGGCUGCCGGUGACCUGGCAGGGGACAUGGAGCUGCUGGCUGUCACAGCCCCAGAGGAAGCAGGGAAGGAUGCAACAGCAUCACAAGCCGAGGUGGAAGGAGCAGAAAAAACAGCUGCAAUGCCAGAGGCAGAAAGCCCAGUGGGGAAGAUGGUCACUCCUGAAGGAGCAGCAGCAGUUGUGGUGGGAGCAUCGGAAAACCCAGCAGCAGAAAGAGUGGCUGAAGCAUUUGCUAGGGCAGCAGAAAGAACUGCAGUAGCAGAAGUAGCCAAGGUGUUGCAGUCAGCAAUAGCUGAGCUCAAAGGGAAGAGGAAGGACAUGUGGUUAAAGCCAAGGAACGCCACUCAGCAGGAAAAGGAUUGGAUGAAAGAGGGAGAGGUGAAAUGAAAAGGAGAGGUGAUGUUCUGGGUCAUACCUCCUAAUGGCUUGUACCAUCACUCCUGGAAUGCAAUAGGACUGCCAGUCACAUCUCUUUUGUGACUCGCUAUACUGUUAAAAAUAAAUAUAUGGCAGAUUCUGCAUGCAGUAAUGUUGAGGGUCUGUCAAAGGUCUUUGUCUUCUGGUUUUGUGAAAGGCAUCUCUUCCUCAGAGAUGAGGGAGAAGAAAAUGUGCUGUUCAUAACAGAAAACAUACUACAGGCAUGAAAUGAUGUAAAAAAAGAAAUACUUUCAUAGAAUCUUAGAAUAUCCUGAGUUGCAUGUGACUCACUAAGAUCAUCAAAGUCACCUUCUGGCCCUGCACAGGACACCCCCAAGGCUUAAAUUUACACUCAAUAUGCAGUCAAGUUUUCCUGUCUGUAGGAUGAGAGAUGGUCCAUGGAAGCACUGCUAAUGUGAAAUAGUUUCAAAUCCUAACAGAGCAGGUGCAUUUACCAGUCAAUCCACAUUGCUCCAACUCUCUCCAGCUCUCAAGUGGGUUUCUUGCUUAGAUGAGAAUGGUAGGUAUGUUCUUUUUUCUUUUUUUUUUUUUUCUCUAAUUCUAUUUAUUCAUAUGAAGCGUGGAAUGGGAAAGGUGUCUCCAUCCAGACUGAUAAUGGUGCGACGCGAGAGGAAGUCCAGAAGAAAUUCAAGAAACAGGAAAAAAUAGCUUCAAAACUCUUCAAAACUAUUCACCACUACUUCAAAACUAGUGAUGAGCUUGUCAGCAUGAAUGACAUUCCCCAGAUGGAUCAUUAAAACAUUGAGAGAAAAAAGUAUUAUUUGUUUUAAGAUUGUUUUCUGAGCCUCUGAGGUACAGGUAAGACAGGUUUGUAGCAACCAUUGGAUGACGGAUCAGUCACCAUAAAUUGUGAUAAAGUGUUACAGAGUGUGGGAUUAGAACAAAGCCAGUCUUGGUGGGUGUCUCACAGGUUUUCUGGUGGAGGAUGAUCACAACUCAGAAGUGCCUGAUGUCUUCAGCAAAUGUCCACUUCAGGAAUUCCCUCCAGACACUUCAUGGUUUGCUGCUCCAGGUUUGUGUUUAGCAGACUGAUGGGAUGAGGUCAAAUCUGUACUUGGAUAGAAAAUUUCGAAACCAAAUGCAGGAGGUGGUGCAAGUGCUCGUGUGUGACUUGUGGCCAUAGCCCAGGUGGGGUAACCAGGCAGUGUCCCCAGGUACUCCAAGUAAAACAAAAAGCAGCUCCCUGACUGCAGGUGGCCACAACUAAAGCCAUAUCACUUUUGGAAAGAGUAAAGACUGCAGCCCUGGAUUCCACCCCAAAAUUCAUGAGUCUAUUGACAACUCCUGUGUAGUUGCAGCUGGAUGUGAUACUCUCCAUAUACCUUACUUCCAGCUUCCAGGGGUGUUUCUGUGGGAAACAUGCCAUUUGUUCUGGUGCACCCCAGAAGGGGCAGCACAUUAGUUCCAGCACUGUACAGAGCUGUUCUCCAACAGACUCCAGGUGUUGAGGAGGAUCUGCUUGUUUCCUGUGCAAGCUGGCUGGCCAUGAAGAU